GAGUAUAUAGCUCAGUGUCUGCAGAGUGCAUGCCUAGCAUGCAUGAGGUCCUGGGUUCAAUCCCCAGUACCUCU
rnacentral:tRNA from 1 species